CACGCAUGACACACUGCAUAUCAAUAAGCGGAGGAAAAGAAACUAACAAGGAUUCCCUUAGUAACGGCGAGUGAAGCGGGAAGAGCUCAAAUUUGAAAUCUUCAAGGUUCUACCUUGACGAAUUGUAGUUUAUAGAAGUGUUUUCUGUUAGUGGAGUGGCAAAAGUUCUUUGGAAUAGGACAUCAUAGAGGGUGAGAAUCCCGUAUUUGGUCAUUCCUCCUAGCGUUGUGAUACACUUUCAACGAGUCGGAUUGUUUGGGAAUGCAGUCCAAAAUGGGUGGUAAAUUUCAUCUAAAGCUAAAUAUUGGCGAGAGACCGAUAGCGAACAAGUACCGUGAGGGAAAGAUGAAAAGAACUUUGAAAAGAGAGUUAAACAGUACGUGAAAUUGUCAAAAGGGAAGCGUUUGACACCAGUGUUGUUUUUCCGAAAAUCAAUUACGAAUGUUUUAGUUUUUGAGAAGUUAUGACUUCAUCGGCUUGCUUCUCUCUUUAUGAAACUCUCUUAAUGCACUUUUCGGUUAACAAGUCAACAUCAAUUUCUUUUGUUGUAAAAGGGUAUGAGGAAGGUGGCUUUCCUUUUCGGAGAAAGUGUUUAUAGCCUUGUACCUCUGCAAUCGGAGAGAUUGAGGUCUGCAGCGUAGAUCCUUCGGGGUUAGAUACAGUUUGUGCUAAGUUAUAGCUUUUCAUAGACAACUUGUUGACUAUGUUUAGUCUUGUAGCUUACUCGCUUAUGCUACUUUACCUACGCUUAGGAUGUUGACUGAUAUGUAGUCGUA
rnacentral:rRNA from 1 species